UACGUAGGGUGCGAGCGUUGUCCGGAAUUAUUGGGCGUAAAGGGCUCGUAGGCGGUUUGUCACGUCGGGAGUGAAAACUCGGGGCUCAACCCCCGAGCCUGCUUCCGAUACGGGCAGACUAGAGGUAUGCAGGGGAGAAUGGAAUUCCUGGUGUAGCGGUGAAAUGCGCAGAUAUCAGGAGGAACACCGGUGGCGAAGGCGGUUCUCUGGGCAUUACCUGACGCUGAGGAGCGAAAGUGUGGGGGAGCGAACAGG
rnacentral:rRNA from 1 species